AGCGAACGCUGGCGGCAGGCCUAACACAUGCAAGUCGAACGAACCCUUCGGGGCUAGUGGCGGACGGGUGAGUAACACGUGGGAACGUGCCUUUAGGUUCGGAAUAACUCAGGGAAACUUGUGCUAAUACCGAAUGUGCCCUUCGGGGGAAAGAUUUAUCGCCUGUAGAGCGGCCCGCGUCUGAUUAGCUAGUUGGUGUGGUAAUGGCUCACCAAGGCUACGAUCAGUAGCUGGUCUGAGAGGAUGACCAGCCACAUUGGGACUGAGACACGGCCCAAACUCCUACGGGAGGCAGCAGUGGGGAAUCUUGCGCAAUGGGCGAAAGCCUGACGCAGCCAUGCCGCGUGGACGAUGAAGGUCUUAGGAUUGUAAAAUCCUUUCACCGGUGAAGAUAAUGACUGUAGCCGGAGAAGAAGCCCCGGCUAACUUCGUGCCAGCAGCCGCCGUAAGAC
rnacentral:rRNA from 1 species